ensembl:misc_RNA Metazoa_SRP Metazoan signal recognition particle RNA
ACUGGGCGCGGUGGUGCGUGCCUGUAGUCCCAGCUACUCGGGAGGCUGUGGUGGGAGGAUCGCUUGAGCCCAGGAGUUCUGGGCUGUAGUGCACUAUGCCAGUGAGGUGUCCGCACCAAGUUCGGCAUCAAUAUGGUGACCUCCCAGGAGCAGGGGAACACCAGGUUGCCUCAGGAGGGGUGAACCCACCCAGGCUGGAAACGGAGCAGGUCAAAAUUUCCAUGCUCAUCAGUAGUGUAAUUGCGCCUGUGAAUAGCCAUUGCACUCCAGCCUGGGCAACAUGGUGAAACCUUGUCUCUA